GACGAACGCUGGCGGCGUGCUUAACACAUGCAAGUCGAACGGAAAGGCCCUGCUUUUGUGGGGUGCUCGAGUGGCGAACGGGUGAGUAACACGUGAGUAACCUGCCCUUGACUUUGGGAUAACUUCAGGAAACUGGGGCUAAUACCGGAUAGGAGCUCCUGCUGCAUGGUGGGGGUUGGAAAGUUUCGGCGGUUGGGGAUGGACUCGCGGCUUAUCAGCUUGUUGGUGGGGUAGUGGCUUACCAAGGCUUUGACGGGUAGCCGGCCUGAGAGGGUGACCGGGCAAAAUGGGGCUGGGGUAAGGGCCAAGCUCCUGAGGGGGGCAAGAGGGGGGAAUAAUGCAAAAAGGGCGGAAGGCUGAUGCAGCAACGCCGCGUGCGGGAUGACGGCCUUCGGGUUGUAAACCGCUUUCGCCUGUGACGAAGCGUGAGUGACGGUAAUGGGUAAAGAAGCACCGGCUAACUACGUG
rnacentral:rRNA from 1 species